AUUGAACGCUGGCGGCAGGCCUAACACAUGCAAGUCGAGCGGAUGAAGGGAGCUUGCUCCUGGAUUCAGCGGCGGACGGGCGAGUAAUGCAUAGGAAUCUGCCCGGCAGUGGGGGAUAACGUCCGGAAACGGGCGCUAAUACCGCAUACGUCCAGAGGGAGAAAGGGGGGGAUCUUAGGAGAUAACGCUACCAGCUGAGCCUAGGACGGAUUAGCUAGUUGGUGGGGUAAAGGCCUACCAAGGCGACGAUCCGUAACUGGUCUGAGAGGAUGAUCAGUCACACUGGAACUGAGACACGGUCCAGACUCCUACGGGAGGCAGCAGUAGGGAAUAUUGGACAAUGGGCGAAAGCCUGAUCCAGCCAUGCCGCGUGUGUGAAGAAGGUCUUCGGAUUGUAAAGCACUGUAAGUUGGGAGGAAGGGCAGUAAGUUAAUACCUGGCUGUUUUGACGUUACCAACAGAGUAAGCACCGGCUAACUUCGUG
rnacentral:rRNA from 1 species